rnacentral:lncRNA from 1 species
ACUUGGUUCUCAAUGUUGUGAAGUCGUAGUUAACAUGGUGAUGAAAAAGGAUGCUAUUUUGCAACGCCCUUAUGGGAAUGUGAGGACCAUGGCGAAUGCUCUCGGGCGAUCUAUUGCAUGGCCUCGUAGAUAUGUAAAACUUCUUCCUGAUCAUGUCUAUUUCAGUAGUUUGUUUCUCAAAUUGCUUCAUAUUGACAAUUCUAUGUUUGCAGAUUGAGGUUGUUCGUAAAGUUAUGCAGAAGCAACCAUGACAGCCCAUAGCAGUCCCCACAUCUUGAAGGUAUUGCAUCUUAGAAUUCUGGAAUAUUUUACACCUAAAGAAAAGAUAUGUUUCUCUUUUCACAUACGGAUGACUUAUUAUUUUUCCGAAUGAAGCAUGUGAUUGAAAGUAGGAACCUACAAGUUCUUUAUUUUCUCCUGAGCUACUAGUACUUUCUAUGGCUUUCCUAGUAGAUAAAAAGUGUGCCAAAGAAUCAAGAAAUAGCUUGUUGCGAACGAGUGUUCUUUAAAAGGACAAAUUGACUAUAACCAGGAGAUAUAAUAUGGUCAUUUACUAUAUAACAGAAAGAGAGAAAAUAGGAGGGGAUCGCAGAUGGAUAUUCUUGUAGACAUCAAAGUCAAAUGCGAUCUCCCCAAAGAUUUCCCUCCGUUCUGUUUUAAAAAAAAAGAGGUCGGGACCUCUUUUCCAGAAACUGCAAAAAGACCAUGGUUUCUGGCAUACCGUGGUUUACAAAACUUCAGAUUUUUCUUAAGCCAAACGCAUCAAAGUAUUCAAAACCAUGGCUUUUUUCAUAAACCAUGGUAUUCUCAGGAAACUUGAAAAAAACUUUGCUGCCAAACGCAGCCUAAAUAGGACAAACAUGUACAAGAAAACAGAACGGUGGACACCCUGCAGUGCCACUGGAUUGCUACUAAUUGAUCCCUGCCUGCAGUUUUUGAAUGUUCUAUUUACUUAACAGCAAUCAAGAGAAAUUAUACUGCACCAAACAAGAUGGCUAUUGGUAUAUAUUUAUAGUGAUUGGUUACAUUGAUUUUCCUAGUGAUGCAUACACAGUGCACGAUCUCUUCUUAUGAGUACAUCCACACAUUCUGUCUGUGCCUUGUGGAAUGCAUACAGGGUGACACACAUGUGUCUCUUUCAUUUGGUUGAGUCGAUUUUCUUUUUCAGCCGAUGCAACUUAUAUGUUUGGAACAUGUGUUCUUCUGAGCUGAUCUAUUUGUCCAUUUCUUUUUUUACAGGUUACCGGCAUAAUGCCUUUGCAUCCACAAAUGCGGUGUGUUUGGUGAGCUAAAAGGAUCUUCUGCUGGGAUAUGUUUACACCUAAAACCAGAUUGUAUAUUUUGUGCUUUUGUCUAUGAUG